rnacentral:tRNA from 1 species
GGUCCCAUCGUCUAGUGGUUAGGACAUCAGCCUUUCACGCUGAAGACACGGGUUCGAGUCCCGUUGGGAUCACCA